GCAAACUUGGUCAUUUAGAGGAAGUAAAAGUCGUAACAAGGUUUCCGUAGGUGAACCUGCGGAAGGAUCAUUAAAAUAUCCGAGUUCCCCGCCGAUAAGGUGGGGGGCGUUCACUUUAUCACCCUUUGUGAAACUUCAACCGUUGCUUCGGCAGCACCGCGCGGUACUGGCGACCGCCGGGUAAGGCUGCCAGAAGCCCGCAACGAAACCAGUUGAUGAAAUGUCAUGCCGUCUGAUACCUUUGUUGUUUGAGAAAUCAAAUCAUAUUAAAACUUUCAGCAACGGAUCUCUUGGUUCCCGCAUCGAUGAAGAACGCAGC
rnacentral:misc_RNA from 1 species